CUACUACUCCCUCCGUCCAGAAAUACUUGUCCUAGAAAUGGUUGUAUCUAGACUUAAUUUUAGUUAUAGAUACAUUCAUUUUAUUCAUUUCUAGGACAAGUAUUUUCGGACGGAGGGAGUAGUUG
rnacentral:pre_miRNA from 1 species